GAUGAACGCUGGCGGCGUGCCUAACACAUGCCAGUCGAGCGAACAGACGAGGAGCUUGCUCCUCUGACGUUAGCGGCGGACGGGUGAGUAACACGUGGAUAACCUACCUAUAAGACUGGGAUAACUUCGGGAAACCGGAGCUAAUACCGGAUAAUAUAUUGAACCGCAGGGUGCAAUAGUGAAAGACGGUUUUGCUGUCACUUAUAGAUGGAUCCGCGCCGCAUUAGCUAGUUGGUAAGGUAACGGCUUACCAAGGCAACGAUGCGUAGCCGACCUGAGAGGGUGAUCGGCCACACUGGAACUGAGACACGGUCCAGACUCCUACGGGAGGCAGCAGUAGGGAAUCUUCGGCAAUGGGCGAAAGCCUGACGCAGCAACGCCGCGUGAGUGAUGAAGGCCUUCGGAUCGUAAAACUCUGUUAUUAGGGAAGAACAAAUGUGUAAGUAACUAUGCCCGUCUUGACGGUACCUAAUCAGAAAGCCACGGCUAACUACGUG
rnacentral:rRNA from 1 species